rnacentral:rRNA from 1 species
UCAGUACCGUGAGGGAAAGGCGAAAAGAACCCCGGGAGGGGAGUGAAAUAGAUCCUGAAACCGUGUGCGUACAAGCAGUAGGAGCUCGCAAGAGUGACUGCGUACCUUUUGUAUAAUGGGUCAGCGACUUACUGUUCGUGGCAAGCUUAACCGUAUAGGGGAGGCGAAGGGAAACCGAGUCUGAUAAGGGCGCAUAGUCGCGGGCAGUAGACCCGAAACCGGGUGAUCUAGUCAUGGCCAGGGUGAAGGUGCCGUAACAGGUACUGGAGGCCCGAACCCACGUCUGUUGCAAAAGACGGGGAUGAGCUGUGAUUAGGAGUGAAAAGCUAAUCGAACCCGGAGAUAGCUGGUUCUCCUCGAAAGCUAUUUAGGUAGCGCCUCGGACGAAUACUACUGGGGGUAGAGCACUGUUAUGGCUAGGGGGUCAUCGCGACUUACCAAACCAUUGCAAACUCCGAAUACCAGUACGUACUAUCCGGGAGACACACGGCGGGUGCUAACGUCCGUCGUGAAAAGGGAAACAACCCAGACCCACAGCUAAGGUCCCAAAUUCACUGCUAAGUGGAAAACGAUGUGGAAAGGCAUAGACAGCCAGGAGGUUGGCUUAGAAGCAGCCACCCUUUAAAGAAAGCGUAAUAGCUCACUGAUCGAGUCGUCCUGCGCGGAAGAUGUAACGGGGCUCAAGCCGGUUACCGAAGCUGCGGAUGCGUGGCAACACGCAUGGUAGGAGAGCGUUCUGUAGGCCUGUGAAGGUGGCUCGUAAGGGUUGCUGGAGGUAUCAGAAGUGCGAAUGCUGACAUGAGUAGCGUUAAAGCGGGUGAAAAGCCCGCUCGCCGUAAGCGCAAGGUUUCCUACGCAACGUUCAUCGGCGUAGGGUGAGUCGGCCCCUAAGGCGAGGCAGAGAUGCGUAGCUGAUGGGAAGCAGGUCAACAUUCCUGCACCGGCUGCAAGUGCGAUGUGGGGACGGAUCAAGCUAGGUCAUCCGGCGGUUGGAAGUGCCGGUUGAGGCGGAAGUAGGCGACACGUAGGCAAAUCCGCGUGUCACAUACCGAGGCCGUCGCUCGAGCGAGCUUGCUCGCGAAGUGACCGAAUGGGGUCCCAGGAAAAGCCACUAAGCUUCAGCUUGCAGCUGACCGUACCGCAAACCGACACUGGUGCGCGAGAUGAGUAUUCUCAGGCGCUUGAGAGAACUC